CUGAAAAUACGGAGUCAAAUACAGGACCGAGCUUAAGGGGCAAGGGACACAAAUGCGUUGACUUGAAAGAACAGUUUGCAGCUAAGCAACGCGGUUACACCCUGAGGUAGCCCCGUCCCUUGUGUCUUGCUGGAGAUUCGCGAUUCACGAGAAUCGCCUUGCUCGCUCACAUUUCGGGCGUGUAUCACCGCGUAGGCGCGCGGUGUUCAUUCAAUGGUUUUGUACCGGUUCAACCAGGAGGUAAUUUGUUCCAAGGUUUUUGUGUUGCCUGCCAUACACCUCAUGCACGCAUGGAGAAAGGGGCCAAGAGUGACUGCAGCUACUUCUUGACUGUGAAUGCUGGGGUAUGCGUACCAGCUGUCAACGCGUCUUGUGGAAAAACUGUUGAUCAACGCAGUGAAGGGC
rnacentral:lncRNA from 1 species